CUGGCUCCCCUAUGCCUUCUGCCAUGAGUGGAAGCCCUCACCAAAAGCUGAUACUGGAGCUACGCUUCUUGCACAGACUGCAGAAAUAUACAGCAACAAGGCACUGUCUUGGAAGCAAGAAAGCAGCCGUCAACAGACACUGGACAUAGCACUGCCUUGACUGGACUUCCCAGACUCCAGAACUGCCAUUAGCCAGAUAUUGUCACACAAUCUCAACCUAACUGCAAGGGAUGCUGAGGAAAGCAGGGGAGCAGUGGAAUAUUUGAGUUAAAAGAACUCUACUUGCCAGACACUGCAUUAUACAUAAGUAGGAAGAAAGAUGAGCUAAAGAUUUUGGGAACUAGAAAAUCCAAUUAUUGUUUGGAUUGUAAAUACUACCUGUGUGGCCUUGGAUAAAUGUGAAA